CAAAUGAAUUGACGGGGCCCGCACAAGCGAGGAACAUGUGGUUUAAUUUCGAUGAUACGCGAGGAACCUUACCUGGGCUUAAAUGGGGAGUGACAGCUGUCGAAAGAUGGUUUUCUUCGGACACUCUUCAAGGUGCUGCAUGGUUUGUCGUCAGCUCGUGCCGUGAGGUGUCGGGUUAAGUCCCAUAACGAGCGCAACCCUUACCGUUAGUUACCAUCAGGUUAAGCUGGGGACUCUAGCGGGACUGCCACCGUAAGGUGAGAGGAAGUGGGGAUGACGUCAAAUCAGCACGGCCCUUAUGUCCAGGGCUACACACGUGUUACAAUGGCCAGUACAAAGGGCAGCUACCGGGUGACCGGAUGCUAAUCUCUAAAGCUGGUCUCAGUUCGGAUCGAAGUCUGCAACCCGACUUCGUGAAGCUGGAUUCGCUAGUAAUCGCGCAUCAGCCAUGGCGCGGUGAAUACGUUCCCGGGCCUU
rnacentral:rRNA from 1 species